CCUACGGGUGGCUGCAGUGGGGAAUAUUGGACAAUGGGGGCAACCCUGAUCCAGCCAUGCCGCGUGUGUGAAGAAGGCCCUCGGGUUGUAAAGCACUUUCAGUGAGGAAGAACGCCUGGUGGUUAAUACCCAUCAGGAAAGACAUCACUCACAGAAGAAGCACCGGCUAACUCCGUGCCAGCAGCCGCGGUAAUACGGAGGGUGCGAGCGUUAAUCGGAAUUACUGGGCGUAAAGCGCGCGUAGGUGGCUUGAUAAGCCGGUUGUGAAAGCCCCGGGCUUAACCUGGGAACGGCAUCCGGAACUGUCAAGCUAGAGUGCAGGAGAGGAAGGUAGAAUUCCCGGUGUAGCGGUGAAAUGCGUAGAGAUCGGGAGGAAUACCAGUGGCGAAGGCGGCCUUCUGGACUGACACUGACACUGAGGUGCGAAAGCGUGGGUAGCAAACAGGAUUAGAUACCCUGGUAGUC
rnacentral:rRNA from 1 species